AUCCCGGCGAAUGCCGGUGGAACUACAUCACUCAUAAUGACCAGGUCGCCGGUUCGAGUCCGGUCCGGGCUGCGA
rnacentral:tRNA from 1 species